GACGAACGCUGGCGGCGUGCCUAAUACAUGCAAGUAGAACGCUGAAGGGGGAGCUUGCUUCUCCGGAUGAGUUGCGAACGGGUGAGUAACGCGUAGGUAACCUGCCUGGUAGCGGGGGAUAACUAUUGGAAACGAUAGCUAAUACCGCAUAAGAGUAGAUGUCGCAUGACAUUUGCUUAAAAGGUGCAACUGCACCACUACCAGAUGGACCUGCGUUGUAUUAGCUAGUUGGUGAGGUAACGGCUCACCAAGGCAACGAUACAUAGCCGACCUGAGAGGGUGAUCGGCCACACUGGGACUGAGACACGGCCCAGACUCCUACGGGAGGCAGCAGUAGGGAAUCUUCGGCAAGGGACGGAAGUCUGACCGAGCAACGCCGCGUGAGUGAAGAAGGUUUUCGGAUCGUAAAGCUCUGUUGUAAGAGAAGAACGAGUGUGGGAGUGGAAAGUUCACACUGUGACGGUAUCUUACCAGAAAGAGACGGCUAACUACGUG
rnacentral:rRNA from 1 species